UACGUAGGGUGCAAGCGUUAAUCGGAAUUACUGGGCGUAAAGCGCGUGUAGGCGGCUAUGCAAGUCGGAUGUGAAAGCCCCUGGCUCAACUGGGGAAGUGCACCCGAAACUGAGUGGCUUGAGUACUAAAGAGGGUCGCGGAAUUCCCGGUGUAGAGGUGAAAUUCGUAGAUAUCGGGAGGAACACCGGUGGCGAAGGCGGCGACCUGGGUAGAUACUGACGCUGAGGCGCGAAAGCGUGGGGAGCAAACAGG
rnacentral:rRNA from 1 species